rnacentral:rRNA from 1 species
UGGGGAAUUUUGCACAAUGCCCGAAAGGGUGAUGCAGCAACGCCGCGUGAGGGAUGAAGGCCUUCGGGUCGUAAACCUCUUUCGAUCGGGAAAAAUGGUUCCGAGAAGAUCGGGAUCUGAUGGUACCGGAAGAAGAAGCCCCGGCCAACUACGUGCCAGCAGCCGCGGUAAUACGUAGGGGGCCAGCGUUGCUCGGAAUUACUGGGCGUAAAGGGUCCGUAGGCGGUGUGGCAAGUCGGGAGUGAAAUCUCUGGGCUUAACCCAGAGGCUGCUUCCGAAACUGCCAUGCUAGAGUGUGAGAGAGGCGAGUGGAAUUACGGGUGUAGCGGUGAAAUGCGUAGAUAUCCGUAGGAACAUCCGAGGCGAAGGCGGCUCGCUGGAUCACAACUGACGCUGAGGGACGAAAGCUAGGGGAGCAAACAGGAUUAGAUACCCUGGUAGUCCUAGCCCUAAACCAUCAGGACUUGGGGUGUGCCCUGUACGGGGCACGUCCCGUAGCUAACGCGUUAAGUCCUGCGCCUGGGGAGUACGGUCGCAAGGCUG